rnacentral:rRNA from 1 species
CUCAAAAUGGGUGGUAAAUUUCAUCUAAAGCUAAAUAUUGGCCAGAGACCGAUAGCGCACAAGUAGAGUGAUCGAAAGAUGAAAAGCACUUUGAAAAGAGAGUUAAAAAGCAUGUGAAAUUGUUGAAAGGGAAGCGCUUGCAGCCAGACUUGUUUAUAGGGUUCAGCCGUCGUUCUCGUCGGUGUAUUUCCCUAUCAUCAGGCCAGCAUCAGUUUGGGUGGAAGGUCAAAGGCCUUGGGAAUGUACCAUCCUCCGGGAUGACUUAUAGCCCUCGGUGUAAUGCUUCCUACCUAGACUGAGGCACGCGUUCGCUAGGAUGCUGGCGUAAUAGCUGUAAGCGACCCGUCUUGAAACACGGACCAAGGAGUCUAACAUCUAUGCGAGUAUUUGGGUGUCAAACCCAUAUGCGUAAUGAAAGUGAACGGAGGUGGGAACCUUUUAGGCGCACCAUCGACCGAUCCAGAUGUCUUCGGAUGGAUUUGAGUAAGAGCAUAGCUGUUGGGACCCGAAAGAUGGUGAACUAUGCCUGAAUAGGGUGAAGCCAGAGGAAACUCUGGUGGAGGCUCGCAGCGGUUCUGACGUGCAAAUCGAUCGUCAAAUUUGGGUAUAGGGGCGAAAGACUAAUCGAAC